rnacentral:lncRNA from 1 species
GCAGGUCCCACCACAUUGGCAGAAUUCAUUUCUUCAUCAAUCUGAGAGCCCACAAAUCUUCCAGCUGAGGUUUCCUUGAAAAUUAUCAGAGGUCUGUGGAAUAUGCUGCAUGCUGAGGAGAACGUUAGAAACAUUCUGGAAGGAAUUAAUAUUUACGUUCUCCAUAGUUUUCUUUUCAUCAGUUUCCUGUGUCAUGAAAUUUAUCAGUAUCACUUCACGAGGAUUCAACUUUAAGAAAAUGUUUGAAAGAGGGAGCAUGAAAGAGGAAGAAUCCAAAAUAAAUGUACAAUGAGUCACAGUUGCAGGAAAAAAAAUCUAUCUAUCUAUAUAUAUGUAUUUCAAAACCUGUACUUGCAAAAUUUCAUUUUGGAAAGAAAAGCCUAUCAAAGCAUAUCAUUUUAAUUAUACUUCUAUUACCAGGGGACUAUGAAAGUAUAUAUUAAAUUAAUGAAAUGGAUUGCCUUGGUUCCACAGUGGUUAUUAGCAGGAAGCGCUCCCAGUUUUCAUAUUAUGUACAUCACUAACUUUAAUUGCAUUAGGCUGAGCUGGGAGCACUAUUUUUAGGAAAUAUUUCAUCCACAAAACAAUUUCUGUUGGCUGUCUGCCUACUCCAGCUCCAAGACUGAGAUUUCGCUCAUCAAUGUUAACCUAUUAUUUCUGUCAGUCAUGCUUUAGCACAUACCACCUCAUUAAAACCACCCCAAAUGCCUCUGCCUCUCACCACCAUGGU